GACGAACGCUGGCGGCGUGCCUAACACAUGCAAGUCGAGCGAAUGAAGUUCCUUCGGGAAUGGAUUUAGCGGCGGACGGGUGAGUAACACGUGGGCAACCUGCCUCAUAGAGGGGAAUAGCCUUCCGAAAGGGAGAUUAAUACCGCAUAAGAUUGUAGUAUCGCAUGAUACAGCAUUUAAAGAAGCAAUCCGCUAUGAGAUGGGCCCGCGGCGCAUUAGCUAGGUGGUGAGGUAACGCCUCACCAAGGCGACGAUGCGUAGCCGACCUGAGAGGGUGAUCGGCCACAUUGGGACUGAGACACGGCCCAGACUCCUACGGGAGGCAGCAGUGGGGAAUAUUGCACAAUGGGGGAAACCCUGAUGCAGCAACGCCGCGUGAGUGAUGACGGCCUUCGGGUUGUAAAGCUCUGUCUUCAGGGACGAUAAUGACGGUACCUGAGGAGGAAGCCACGGCUAACUACGUG
rnacentral:rRNA from 1 species